GCAUAUGAAAUAAUGGAAGAGGUCCUAAAGAGAGCAACUGAACUGAUGAAGAAAUACAAAAACAAUUCCCAGAGAAGUAAACAUGAGGAUGUUUAAGAUGGUGCUAAGAGGAAAUUAAUAUGGGGCAGCAUAAUAGAUGGAUGAUUGUGAGCUACCUUUUUUGACCUGAGAAGAUUGGAAAAGAAGGCUGGAAUUGCAGGAUGCGGAUUUGGCUUCAGUCUUUACCUUGAGGAUUGAAGGAAAAUGAAAGAAAAGAACAUUCGACCACCACAGAUCACCUUCACAUUGCUCCAGCUUGACUGCUCCCUCACCCAUGCGGGGUAUUCGGAGAACUCUGGGAUUUCCCUAACUUGCACUGUGUGCGUACUGUGUCAAAUGGACUUUACCCAUGCAGAUAGUAAUGAGAGUGGAAACUGGAGGUCACUUGAAAACUGUAAGACAGCAACUGCCUUAAAAUCAUUUCAUGUGACCCUUCACAACUUCUACUUUUGACCAUUCUAGUGGAUUUUUGCACUCUUGAGAGAUUGAGGGAAGAG
ensembl:lncRNA